AGGGCUAGCAACAGAGAGAGCUUACUCUCUGGGUGGCGAGUGGGGACGGGUGAGGAAUACAUCGGAAUCUACUCUGUCGUGGGGGAUAACGUAGGGAAACUUACGCUAAUACCGCAUACGACCUACGGGUGAAAGCAGGGGAUCUUCGGACCUUGCGCGAUUAAAAAAAGCCAAAAGUCGGAUUAGCUAGUUGGCGGGGUAAAGGCCCACCAAGGCGACGAUCCGUAGCUGGUCUGAGAGGAUGAUCAGCCACACUGGAACUGAGACACGGUCCAGACUCCUACGGGAGGCAGCAGUGGGGAAUAUUGGACAAUGGGCGCACGCCUGAUCCAGCCAUACCGCGUGGGUGAAGAAGGCUUUCGGGUUGUAAAGCCCUUUUGUGGGAAAAGAAAUCAAGCUGGUUAAUACCCGGUGGGAAUGCCGGAACCAAAAGAAUAGGCACCGGCUAACUUCGGGCCACCGGCCGGGUAUUACGAAGGGCGCAA
rnacentral:rRNA from 1 species